rnacentral:rRNA from 1 species
UACGAAGGGGGCUAGCGGUGUUCGGAUUUACUGGGCGUAAAGCGCGUGUAGGCGGGUCGUUAAGUUGGGGGUGAAAUCCCGAGGCUCAACCUCGGAACUGCCUUCAAAACUGGCGACCUGGAGCAAGAUAGAGGCAAGUGGAAUUGCGAGUGUAGAGGUGAAAUUCGUAGAUAUUCGCAGGAACACCAGUGGCGAAGGCGACUUGCUGGAUCUUUGCUGACGCUGAGACGCGAAAGCGUGGGGAGCAAACAGG